UUCCGGUUGAUCCCGGCCGAGGCUACUGCUAUUGGGAUUCGAUAAAGCCAUGCGAGUCGAGAGGGUUCGGCCCUCGGCAGACGGCUCAGUAACACGUGGAUAAUCUACCCUUAGGUGGAGGAUAACCUCGGGAAACUGAGAAUAAUUCUCCAUAGGUCUAGAAUGCUGGAAUGCAUCUAGGCUGAAAGUUCUGGCGCCUAAGGAUGAGUCUGCGGACUAUCAGGUAGUAGUCAGGGUAAUGACCUGACUAGCCUACGACGGAUACGGGUCGUGAGAGCAAUUGCCCGGAGACGAUAUCUGAGACACGAUAUCGGGCCCUAUGGGGCGCAGCAGGCGCGAAACCUUCACACUGUGCGAGAGCACGAUGAGGGGAUCCCAAGUGCAGGCUCGUAAGAGUCAGCUGUUUCUUUGUCUAAAAAACAGAGAGAGUAAGGGCUGGGUAAGACGGGUGCCAGCCGCCGCGGUAAUACCUGCAGCUCAAGUGGUAGCCGCUAUUAUUGGGCCUAAAACGUUCGUAGCCGGUUUAGUAAAUGCUUGGGUAAAUUGUGUCGCUUAACGAUACGAAUACCGGGUAGACUGCUAAACUUGGGACCGGGAGAGGCUAGAGGUACUCCUGGGGUAGAGGCGAAAUUCUGUAAUCCUGGGGGGACCACCAGUGGCGAAGGCGUCUAGCUAGAACGGGUCUGACGGUGAGGAACGAAGCCCUGGGGCGCAAACCGGAUUAGAUACCCGGGUAGUCCAGGGUGUAAACGCUGCUCGCUUGAUGUUAGUUGGGCUCCGAGCCCACCUAGUGUCGGAGAGAAGUUGUUAAGCGAGCUGCCUGGGAAGUACGGUCGCAAGACUGAAACUUAAAGGAAUUGGCGGGGGAGCUCAGCAACGGGUGGAGCGUGCGGUUUAAUUGGAUUCAACGCCGGAAAACUCACCGGGGGCGACGGUUACAUGAAGGCCAGGCUGAUGACCUUGCCAGAUUUUCCGAGAGGUGGUGCAUGGCCGCCGUCAGUUCGUACCGUAGGGAGUUCUGUUAAGUCAGACAACGAGCGAGACCC
rnacentral:rRNA from 1 species